UACGGAGGGUGCAAGCGUUAUCCGGAUUCACUGGGUUUAAAGGGUGCGUAGGUGGUGUGGUAAGUCAGUGGUGAAAUCUCCAAGCUUAACUUGGAAACUGCCGUUGAUACUAUCAUUCUUGAAUAUCGUGGAGGUAAGCGGAAUAUGUCAUGUAGCGGUGAAAUGCUUAGAUAUGACAUAGAACACCGAUUGCGAAGGCAGCUUGCUAUACGAUCAUUGACACUGAGGCACGAAAGCGUGGGGAUCAAACAGG
rnacentral:rRNA from 1 species